UACGGAGGGGACUAGCGUUGUUCGGAGUUACUGGGCGUAAAGCGCGCGUAGGGGGAUUUGCAAGUCGGGGGUGAAAUCCCGAGGCUCAACCUCGGAACUGCCUUCGAUACUGCAAAUCUCGAGUCCGGAAGAGGUGAGUGGAAUUCCUAGUGUAGAGGUGAAAUUCGUAGAUAUUAGGAAGAACACCAGUGGCGAAGGCGGCUCACUGGUCCGGUACUGACGCUGAGGCGCGAAAGCGUGGGGAGCAAACAGG
rnacentral:rRNA from 1 species